UUAUUUACUGAAACGCGAAUAUUGUAUGUUUGUGCAUUAAUUAUAUUGUAAACGGUUGCAAUAGCUGUUUUUCUUGCGGAGAUUGUCAGCUUGCGGGACCCCGCCUCCCUUUGAGGAUCAACCAAUCAGAAGACGAUCGCCGUCGGAAAGAUGCUUGUGGAUUGCAGAAUGGAAAGCACCUUGCUGCGGAAAAUAUUUUCACUUCUACGUGAAAAUCUAACAAGAAAAUUGACCUGUCAAAUACAAGAUACAGAGUGCCAGUCCCACUAUGAUGAAGUAUUAAAAGCUUUAAAAUGGUUGGAAUUAGGAAAGCUUUAUUAUUUGAACAGGAAACAGAUAUGAAUGAAUGAAGAUUUGGAUCCCUCUUCAAUUCAUCUGAAAACCUGAUAAUUGAGCGUUCUUGCAAAAAAUGUACCUAAGGAGUCAGAUGGGCUAGAGCAUUCAUUUCCAUAAUCUGGACUCGGUGACUGUUCAAGGCUUUACUCAAUACCCGAGUUUACAUUUCCAGUUACUAUUUACAAUGAUUUAUGUGUAACCUAAAUUUCAUAUUGUUACACUUUUUCGUCACUAGUCAGAUAGAAUUAGACACAUCUCUGGAGAAGAAAAAAAUCUUUGUAACGUUCAAGACAGAAUUAAUGAAAAGGAUCAAGAACUAAUACAACUAUAUGCUUGUAGUACUGAUGUAAAUUUUUUGGAAAUGUUUCAAACUGAAGCAACACUUUAAAGCUUUCCGAUAAUAUAUUAAACCAGGAGACGUAUUAGCUACAAUUUAAUUUUAAGAUGACACUGGACAUUCUUAGUUGUUUAUUACUCAAUGAAUAGUUAGUUUAUAGCAUAAGUUAUUGUGACUCUAUUCAUCUGUUAUAUAAUGAUAGUUACUUCAUUUUUUAAAAAAUGCAUUGAUAUUUGUUUAUGAUCAAUGAUUUAGAAAAACAAGUGUUUGUUUGUUUGUUUUCUUUAGAAAAUUUAAUACCAAGAGUGAAGGUCUUUGAAAUAGAAAUCUAUGGAUUUUCUUUUCUUUAUGGAGUAAAAUGGUAUUUCAUGUAUAUGUUGUAUCAAAAAUGUAAAUACAAGAAAUAAAUUACAUAUCAUCAAUUUCUAA